CGUGUGUUUUUAUGACUCUUCCAGUGACAGGAACAGAAUUACAACAGAAAACAGCAGCUCCUUCAUUACCCAGAAGUCCUUCAGAGACGCCUGCACACAGUCAGUCAGUGCUGAAGAGACGUUUGCCCAGCGUAAUCCUGCAGUCCUUCACCGAGAUUUAGCCUGAGACGAGUGUGGUGAUCCAGAGGAGGAGGAGGAGGAGAUCUUCAUCAGUCCGAGAGAGGAGGAAAUGAGACGUGAACCUGUGAACACAAACACAUCAUCUGCAGGUGUGCUGCUUCACCUCAUCAAUACCACAGUAAGCAUGAGAGUAUGCAGGGUAUUCUGGAGUCAUUCAUAUCUCCAGCUGAAUCAUGUGGAUGGAGCAAUACUUUCAUUUUCUGCUAAUGAUGGAUAGAACUGGCCGUUUUUCACAUUUACAGCAUUAGCUUGUACAAUCUUUGUAAAAAGCCAUUGUGAAUCAAUAUUUCUCAGGAUAUUACUUGAUGAUAAGCUCAUUAACCCUCAUAUUUCUAUGGCUUCUUGUUUAAUACUAAACAUGUUUUGCUCAGUUUAUGGAUUAUGUGUUCCUUUUGUUAGAAUAGGUUUAUUUUUGUGAUUUAUGCAUCAUUAUGGAUGGUUGAUGAGGCCUGUGUUAGUUUUCUGUCGUUUAUAAUCACUGAUUAAUCUCCCAGAGAUCUGAACUGAUCGCUCAGGCUGGAAAAUAACUCAUAACCAGAUGGAUCUUAAUGCAUUCAUUCGGCAAAGUUUGUAAAUUAUGUGGAUUUUCCCUCUUUAUCAGAUUGAAAUGGCCUCAGAAUUGAGUUGAUAUUAUGGCCUUGUGCAUAAAUAAAGUGUAAAUCCAU